rnacentral:rRNA from 1 species
CCUACGGGAGGCUGCAGUGGGGAAUAUUGCACAAUGGGGGAAACCCUGAUGCAGCGACGCCGCGUGAGUGAAGAAGUAUUUCGGUAUGUAAAGCUCUAUCAGCAGGGAAGAAAAUGACGGUACCUGACUAAGAAGCCCCGGCUAACUACGUGCCAGCAGCCGCGGUAAUACGUAGGGGGCAAGCGUUAUCCGGAUUUACUGGGUGUAAAGGGAGCGUAGACGGCGCAGCAAGUCCGGAGUGAAAGCCCAUGGCUUAACCAUGGAACUGCUUUGGAAACUGUGCAGCUUGAGUGCAGGAGAGGCAAGCGGAAUUCCUAGUGUAGCGGUGAAAUGCGUAGAUAUUAGGAGGAACACCAGCGGCGAAGGCGGCUUGCUGGACUGUAACUGACGUUGAGGCUCGAAAGCGUGGGGAGCAAACAGGAUUAGAUACCCUUGUAGUC